GCACUCUACAUUUGUGUGAUAGAGCCAUGAGUGUUCUACUUAUGAUGAAAUGUUCCAAAUGGAAACUGUACCCAGCCCCUCUCAAAAAGCUUAGUUUGCCACAAAGGCUGUUGAGCUGAAUUUGAUCCUUCCAUCCAUGUGAAGGAGAAAGAAAACCAACUAGGGAAGCCAAGAACUGUGUUUGAAGACUCAUCUAACCUCAGUUCCAAACCAAUAGAAUGACUGAGGCCCUUGUUCAUGUACCACUUAAAUUGGUUCUGCUUUGAAAAUGGUGCUGGGUCUAUGCUUCACCAACCUCUCCAGGUGACAGGAGCUCAUUUUCACAAUGGCAGAGACUUGCCCAUCCUUCAAACCCCAUUCUGUCAGAACAUCCAGACCCAAGGAGGUAGGAUCCAUACAGCUCCAGGUAA
rnacentral:lncRNA from 1 species